rnacentral:rRNA from 1 species
GACGAACGCUGGCGGCGUGCUUAACACAUGCAAGUCGAACGGAAAGGCCCUGCUUUUGUGGGGUGCUCGAGUGGCGAACGGGUGAGUAACACGUGAGUAACCUGCCCUUGACUUUGGGAUAACUUCAGGAAACUGGGGCUAAUACCGGAUAGGAGCUCCUGCUGCAUGGUGGGGGUUGGAAAGUUUCGGCGGUUGGGGAUGGACUCGCGGCUUAUCAGCUUGAUGGUGGGGUAGUGGCUUACCAAGGCUUUGACGGGUAGCCGGCCUGAGAGGGUGACCGGCCACAUUGGGACUGAGAUACGGCCCAGACUCCUACGGGAGGCAGCAGUGGGGAAUAUUGCACAAUGGGCGGAAGCCUGAUGCAGCAACGCCGCGUGCGGGAUGACGGCCUUCGGGUUGUAAACCGCUUUCGCCUGUGACGAAGCGUGAGUGACGGUAAUGGGUAAAGAAGCACCGGCUAGCUACGUG